GGCUCCCUGGGCACAGGACUUAGCCAGGCUGUUGCCAGCCUCCUGUGCCACCCACGGCCCAGGUGUAGGAUUGGACUUCUGUCCUGUGGCAGGUUGUAAAGGGCCAGCUUUCUGUUCGACCAUGUGCUUCAGUGAACUGAACUCCGGUGCCUUCAGAACUACAGGAAGAAGCAGGGCCUCGUAGGAAGAGAGAAAACCUCCACUAACUCUCUGAGUUCUUAGAAUGACAGGCUUUUCAUUGCUUUUUCUGAAAAAUAAAAAAAUCACCAUGUCUGUAUAUUAUAUAAAGUAGGAAUAUAUUUAAAUGAUUAUAAACCAGAUGCAUUUGCAAACCUUUCAAGAGCAAUAGCUCCAUCAAGAAAGUGCUUAAAUAAAAAAUAAAUUAUUGCAAUUUUCAGGUUGAGAAAUAAAGUGUGUCUAAUUGCAGUGGCGAACAGGAGCAUUGAAUGAAGCGUAUCUGUCUUCUCCAGGAACUCCACCAAUCAGUCUGUGAUGAGGAAAUGUAAUGAAGAAACAGACACUAUUGGUGAGGUUUAACCGGCCAUCCCAGAGUGCCUGCGCUCACCAGCAAGCAGUCAGUCACCCGCUGGCCCACCCCCUUGCUCAGGCCAGGCCCAGGCCCAGCUGCACCCCAAGGCGCCUCUUCUCUCGCCCAUUCCUCUUACAUGCUCCUUGCUUCAGGAGCCCUCCCGACUGGUCCUGGAAGAUCUCCUCCCUGCAGCCUGCAGGGCACCUCUCAUGCUCUUGCUCUCCUCCCAGUCUGACGUGGCUUCAAGACUCCAGUUAGAAAGGCAGGGGGUGGGGGGUGCGAAGCUGAGGGUGCCGGCAGGUUCUCUGUGGCUGGCGAGGGGAGGCAAACCAGGCCGACCCUAGUGCGUGCGUGUGGAAGUCUGUGCACGUGGUCCAAUGGGGCACCCUGACCAUGACAAGACAGCCUUCCAGCCUCCCAGGAGAGUGAUGUCUAGGCCUAGCGAUGGCUGCUGGGGUCAGUACCAUUGUCUGGUCCGCUGGACACUCCCCUCCUGCCACAGUGGUGUGCAGAGGUGGAGAGCUGUCAGCGAGACACACUGGUGCCCUCAGGGUCAAGUGCCCUGCGGAGCCAUCUCGGUCACAUGACACACCUGCCCUGCUUCCCCAGCCUCCUUCCUGAGCGGGCAAUCCCACAGUAGCGAAGCCCUUCCUUGGCCUUGGUCUUGCUGCACCUGUCCUGGUCCCAACAGGUGCUCUCAUCUCCCUCUCUCCCUGUUGUUUCCCUCACAUCGUCUCAUUCAGUAACGAGAAUGGAGAGUUUAGUUUUGCCUCCUGCCUGGGACAUAUGUACACUCUUUGGAAAUUUGACUAAUUUUUUUUUUUUCUCAAGAGGUGUCGCUCUCUGUGAUUCACAGAAGUUCCAGGCACUGAGGCUCUCCCUGUGCUCCGUGGAGAAGUGAGUGACUUCUGAUUCCCUCUGUAGACAUUUCUGACGUCAGCGAAGGAAGGGAUGAGUUCUGUGUGAGUCUGAGCCUGAGUGGGAGGGAGAGUCCUGCAGAACUCAAGGUUCAUUGUCCAGCAUCAAUGAGGAGGCCAUUCUAGGCGUCCAGUAUUGCUGUCAGCGAGCGAGGGCCGAGUAGAAAUGAAUGCCGCCACCCAGAGAGUACCACGAACUAGCGCUUCCUUCGUCUUCUCCGCGCCUCUGACAUUUCCCUCCUGUGGGCCUCUGCAGUGUGUGAGCACAGCACAACCUGGAAGGUCCUGAUGGGUCUCCACUGGCCUAAGUCAGCCGUGAGGUGCCCAGACGUCAGCGGGAAAGACAGGGGUGACCCUGAGAGCUGAGUGUGGACACACACGCCAGUGUCAGAGGCUCCUCGUGGGAAGAAGGGAGCCAAGGAGUGAUUCAGAGAGCGAGAGGAGGGGCAUGUUUCGCAAAUACUGCCUUUGAAAUGAAAAUGUGUGUGACUAUGACAGAGAUAAGGCAAUCCCAGAGAGCCAGACCCUCAAGUGCACACCACCCAGGCUGAGGAAGAGAACUCGCGAUUCUCCCUCUGGUCACUCUCUUGUCCUAUUGGAGAUCAGCACUGAGUUAAGUUUUGCCACUACCAAUGCUUGUGCCUCUUUAUUUUCUUUAUUGUACACAUGCUAGUCCCCAAACGAUGUUUUAUUUAGCUUUACAGAAAUUCUGGAUUUCAUGUAACCGCGACCACAUGUACGUGUUCUUCUGUGGUUCUCCAUCUUGCUUAAUGUUGAGUUUGUGAGAUUCAUCCAUGGUGACAAGUGAAUGGAAGGAACCAUAGUUCAUCCAUCUUUAUUGCUUUAUAACAUUCUGCUAAAUGGAGAUGGGAUGAUAAAGCCAUCUAUCUGUCAAUAGAUUAUGUUCAGGCUUUUGCUGUUAUAAAAUGCUUCUAUAAAUAUUCUUGAACUUGUCUCCUGGUGAAUUAAAGUGAUGGAUAACACACACAUGCACACACACACACACACUUCAGGGUGUGGGAUGUGCAGAUCUUUCAGUUUCAUGAGAUAAUGUCCUUUUUUCUGUAAAUGGACUCUACUAGAAUUCAGUUGCUCCUCCUUCCCACCAGAGCUGCUCCUUUGUUGUGAUGCUCCUCACUUGGCAGGUGUGAGGCAGCAUCUGCCUGGCUCUGGCCACUCACUUCCACAAGCAUUGGAGAGGCUGAGCCUCUUGUCUUAGGGUUACUGGCCACUGAGCUCCACUUCCUUUUUGGAGAAAGGUUUGAGAUUUUUAUCUAUUUUUAAAUUGGGGUCUCUUUACAUAUUCUGAAUACAUUUUGUGAUUUUUAAAAUUGUUUUUAGUUUUUAGUGUUAGUUAUACAUAGAAGUGGGGCUUAUUUUGACAUAUUCAUAAAUGCUUGUUAUGGGUUAGAUACAAGGUAUCCCUCAAAGCUGUAAGAUAGUUUAGAAAUGAACUGAUUGGAUUAUGAGAGCCCAAAACUCACCAAUGCAUUAAUCCACUUGAAUGGAUUCACUGGGUGGUGGCUGUAGGCAGUGGGGAGUGGUUGGAGGAGGUGUGCCGCUGUCUGGCUGGGCACAAAUCAUGAGCCACUCAAACAGGAACAAACUUUAUUUCCAAACUCCCACAGACACCCGCUCCCCGGGAACCUCUCCCGAACGCCACCCACGCGGCUCCUCCAGGAACACACCACACAUCAACCGGAACUCCCUCCCCUGGGCUGCGCACGUACUCACCCUCGGAACCCUGCGAGAACUCAACAGAAACUCUAAAGUAGCAGGCGCCGGAGGCAGCAAGAGCCAUCCUAUUACCGGACAGUAAAGGUCUAAUAUACAACUGAACACACAACCUGUUUCAAUCCAGCAUAAUGGCAAUCCAACUUAAUGGCUCGCUUCUCAACCAGACUUCUGGUAAAAUGCCAGGGGCCAUUCCGACUUGGCUGUGGCUCUCAGCAGAGGUGGGUCUCUGGGUGCGUUUGCUUGGGGUUCAUACUCUGUCCCUAGUGAAAGAGCCCUUUGCUGCCUGUUGCCAUGUCCUGAGCUGCUUUCCUCUUCCCCAUGAAGUUCUGCCUUGCGUUGGGCCCCCGAGCAAUGGAGCUGGCCGUCUGUGGACUGAGACCUUUGAACCGAGCACCAAAUAAACUUUUCCCUCUCUAAAAUUAUUCUUGUCAGGUCUUUUGGCCACAGCAGCAAAACACUGCCUAAAACAGUACAUAACAUAGAUGCAUAACUUUUCAUGAAUUUGAAACAGCCUAGGCCACAUACUUAAUAAUGC
rnacentral:lncRNA from 1 species